GCUAAGACUAGAGUCAUAACCCAACACAGCUCUUGUCCUGGUAUGCUACAGUCCUUGGAAACAAUCUGCUGGUCUUGAUUCACUGAUGGGGGCAAUCCUUACCCCCAUUAGUACCAGAUCAGAAACAUGC